GACAAACGCUGGCGGCGUGCUUAAUACAUGCAAGUCGAACGGUAUACCUUCGGGUAGAUAGUGGCGGACGGGUGAGUAACACGUAGGUAACCUGCCCUAUUGUGGGGAAUAACAGCUCGAAAGAGUUGCUAAUACCGCAUAAGCUCUUACACGUGGGUGUGAGAGGAAACCUUGUAAAGGGGCGAUAGGAGGGGCCUGCGGCGGAUUAGCUAGAUGGUGGGGUAAAGGCCUACCAUGGCGACGAUCCGUA
rnacentral:rRNA from 1 species